rnacentral:lncRNA from 1 species
UAAUCUUUUCCUUCCAUCUCCCAGUAUCCAACGGUCAAAAUUCCACCCACCAUCAUAAUUAAUAUGUCCGAACCUAGUUCAAGCGGCCCUUUCAUCUCCCUCUGUUAUCUUUUUCAUUAGAGAGUCCAAGAACCCUAACCAGUCGCCCUCAAAUUUCCUCCAUUAUCUCCGGUGGUGGCAACGCCAUAGACCACGCCAAUCCUUACCAAACUAACAUCAGAACUCUCUCCAUCUCCCCAUCCCAAAUAUCCAACCCUUUGCCCUCGAAUCAACUUCAUACUCUUCGAAUCUUGAAUCUGAGUUUGACCCCUAGAAAUUCGAAGUCAUUUUUCGUCAAGUCUGGUAACAUGCACGAUCAUGGAGUGUUGAUUUUUCAAACUUUUAGGUUUGGACUCAACGAAACUGAUGUCGUUCAAUUGUUCUUGACAAAGAAAAAGGGAUCGAUAUAAGUUUGGUUGGGUCUUUUGUCCCUAUUCGGUUUCAAUGUUCAAUUUGGUACGUCUCUUUCCUUUUUUGUAUUUUCUUUAUGUCGUUAUCUUAUUAUCCUCCUUUCUCCCUUUCUUUAACCUAGUUCUUAUAAUAAUCUGGUCGAAAAGUCGAUUCACCUUGUGAGUUCAAAGUUGUCCUUCUGAUCAUUAUUUUGUUUUUCUUUUUUUUUUCUUUCUUUCUUCUUCUUUGUGAAAUCCUCUUCUGUGACUUCUUUAAUUUGUUAAGCAUGACUAAGUUUGUGGUUCGUUAUUUUCACCUAGUUAAUUUAAUUAGGCUUAAUUUAGUUAAUUUCUUGCUAUGUAGAUUAAGUUAAGUGAUUCACGCACCCUCAUCGUUGUUUGAUUAUAUUUUAAAAGGUUUUCGGGUUCCUUCGUUUAGGAAAGUUUGAGUCAGUUCUUAAAUUGGGAACUCUUGCCUGAUUUUAAUUGGACUCUGAAAAAUCAAAAGUCCAAGAGGGAAUUAAACUUGGGUAACAAACCCAUAUCAAAUUAGGUCGUGGGGUUAACUUGACCCAUGUAAUUUGCUGAGGGUAAUUUCAGGGGUUUGUGGGGUUAAUUUGGGUAGUCUAGCUAAGGGAAAUCUUUAAUAACUAAUUUAAGAAGCUUCCUUGAAGCUGAAAAAAGGACUUGUCAAACAAGCUAAAAGUUUAGGGAUUAAGUAGCAAUAAUUAAAAUUAGAAAAGGUUUAAUAGGCAAAAACUGAAAUAUUUCUGCUGCCCUUGAACCUUGCCUAUAAAGGCACAUACACUUGGCACUCAAAUGAGGUUUUUUUGAAAGGAUUCAGAUUAGAGAGAACUGAAUAGAUAAAAAUUCAGAAAAACUAAAACGUUUGAAAAAUCUCACAAACUCACUGCUUCAUUCAAUUUUCUUUUGUGAUUCUAGAGUUGUCAAUUUCUAAAACAAUUUCUGGCACAUCUAGGGUAAAAAUUGACUAAAGUAGGUUUUAAAAGUUUGGUUUGAAAUCUGUUGUGGUAUUUUCUUGAUUGAAACUGGUUUUUGGACUGCUGCACUUUAGUUUCUGUUUGAAAUUGGUUAAAUUUGGGCUGACUGCUGCCAUUGCUUACUGCUGAUACUUCAUUUUCUUUUGGUUUCAUUUCCUUUGAUCAUUACCCGGUACAUCUCAAACUGUGGACAACAACUGAUUGCAAGCAUGUAUUUUGAGUGGAAAGUUGGUUGAAUCCAAGUUGUAAUUGAAUAUAUCUUUUCUGUUUCCUCUUUUCUUUCAACAUUCUAUAGUAUGAAUUAUAAUAUAUUUGCCACUAAUGUUUUCUGCUCAUUCAUGUACCACAAAGAUAUGUAGGUUCUUUUGAGAAGAAAAUGUGCUCCAAUCCGAGGUCUAGCUUAAAUGGAUUACAUUUUGUUACAUGUGUUUGGGUGGUAAAGAGAUCUGGUCGUUAGUUACACACUGUUUCAGUUUUUUCUUUUGGUGCUCAUAAACUUAAAAGAGUGCAUUCAUGUUGAUUUUGAUCCAAAUAAUUAGCAUGUUUUUUCUACUGAGUUGGCUGAUGUUAGUGUUAGUCAUUGGUUUGAGUUUCCAUGAGGUAUCUGUUUAAUUCAAAUUUGAAUCUAACAUAGAUAUCUGUUAAAUCUGAAAUAAAAAGCUACUCCUGAUGGUAUCCGAAAUGGCCUGGUAUACUAGUUUUUGGGUGAUGAUGGGGUCUAUUAGUUGUAAUUAAGUGUAAAGGGUUUAUUUACUUUGGUAAAGAUUCGAUUCGUUAACUUUGUUUUUACACGGUUUGGAUUCGUUAAUCUUUGGGCCUUGAGGUUAUAUGUAAUUGUCCCCUUAGCCCAACAACUCACUAAUUGGUUGUUGGGUCACUUCAGUAGCGAAUUGGCCCAAAGGUAUGCUCAAUUAAAAAAUUAGAAGGCUGAAUAAUUUUUCUAUGUUUAAUAUUUUAAAUACGGGGUUUUAAGUUUGCGAAAUCAAUUUUAUGUUUCAUGUUGGUACCAUUUGAUUAGCAUUCUUGAAUUGGCAAUGUGGCAUAACAAUUGGGAGUAUGAAGCUAGGACUAACGCAGGCCUAGCUGAAUAGCAGUCAGAUUCAGAUCACUAGGCGCCUUCCCUCACCAUGAAUUGGGCUCAUUUUUAGCCCAGAGCUUGAAGAUAUGGUUGAAAGGGUCUGUCCAAUUGUUUGAGUAAUGUAAAUUCCUUUUAGGUUUGUGGUUCUCCAACAUAGAUGUUUAUUCAGUAAAUUAGUAGGGUAAAACCUUUAGUUUAAUCAAUAGAAUACUUUAAGUUUUUGUGAAUUAAUUAGUGGAGGUGAGCCAUAUUAAACAAUGUAAAUAGCUUAUGGC